CUUCUGGUGUCCCCCUGCUCUUCUGUCGUCUGCCAGUGAUACUGGAGGUGCUGUAGUCUAUCAUGGGGCAGUUUUAGCACAGAUCCCAGCAGCCUCUCUCUGACAUCAGCCUUAUUUCCCUAACAAAUUCUCUGUAUUGAAGAACCAUCCUGUGUAUCCACACAUCUUCAUUUUAAUCCGAUAUACCUUUGGAUCCAGCGCUUCUAAGAACAUGUAUAGUCUGUUUUCCAGUGUCGAUGCCAUUACCCCGUGAGCCAUUCUCUCUGCCCCAGCACACCAGCUUGUUUCCUGCCACGCGUGAAGCAUAACAGGCAUGUACCCAUCUCAGGAUUGUGGUGCCUGCUUUGCUUAUGAAC